rnacentral:rRNA from 1 species
UGGGGAAUAUUGCGCAAUGGGCGAAAGCCUGACGCAGCAACGCCGCGUGGGGGAUGAAGGUUCUCGGAUUGUAAACCCCUUUCGACCGGAACGAAUUCCCUCCUGGUAAAUAAUCAGGAGGAUCGACGGUACCGGGAGAAGAAGCCACGGCUAACUCUGCGCCAGCAGCCGCGGUAAGACAGAGGUGGCGAGCGUUGUUCGGAUUUAUUGGGCGUAAAGCGAACGCAGGUGGUUUGGUAAGUCAGAGGUGAAAGACCACAGCUUAACUGUGGCACUGCCUUUGAUACUGCCUUUCUAGAGUGCAUGAGGGGGAAGCGGAAUUCCGAGUGUAGAGGUGAAAUUCGUAGAUAUUCGGAGGAACACCGGUGGCGAAGGCGGCUUCCUGGCAUGUAACUGACACUCAUGUUCGAAAGCGUGGGUAGCAAACAGGAUUAGAUACCCUGGUAGUCCACGCCCUAACGAUGGGCACUAGGUGUGGGAGGUAUCGACCCCUUCCGUGCCGCAGCUAACGCAUUAAGUGCCCCGCCUGGGGAGUACGGCCGCAAGGUUG